rnacentral:rRNA from 1 species
CAGUCGCCACGGGAAAACGUAGGGUGCAAGCGUUAAUCGGAAUUACUGGGCGUAAAGCGUGCGUAGGUGGUGGUUUAAGUCCGUUGUGAAAGCCCUGGGCUCAACCUGGGAAUUGCAGUGGAUACUGGGUCACUAGAGUGUGGUAGAGGAUAGUGGAAUUUCCGGUGUAGCAGUGAAAUGCGUAGAGAUCGGAAGGAACAUCUGUGGCGAAGGCGACUAUCUGGGCCAACACUGACACUGAGGCACGAAAGCGUGGGGAGCAAACAGGAUUAGAGACCCCUGUAGUCCCUGUCUCUUAUAC